UAACUAUGCACGUGUACAAAAUCUGAUGAAUGUCAUUGGAUGCAGUAUAAAAUCAUUGAUUGCGUUGGUCUUUGCAGGUGUGGGGUGUGCCUGGACUUUACCAAGGUGGCCAGGUGCCAGGACAAGGGUUUGGUGGUCGUGGAGUGUUGCCCGGUGUGGCCACUGGGAACGGACUCAAUCCCAAAUCAUUGCCAGGUGGAGGACAGCAGGGACCAGGAGGCUCGGGUCGUGUUGGUUAUGGAGGACCAAUGCAGCCAGGAGUAUUCCAUGGAUACCCACUCAAAACACCCAAAACACAAGGUGGCUAUGGAGCAAAAGUUGGAGGAGCUGGAGGCAAACUUCCAUUUGGAUAUGGAGGCUUUGGUGGUGGUGGUGGAGCAGGCCUUCCUGGUGGAAAAGGUGGUCCUGGAUCCAAGCCUGGAUACCCCAUUGGAACUGGUGUUGGGACAGGAGGUCUUAACCCGGCCCAGGCUCAGGCUAAAGCUGCUAAAUAUGGUGCUGGUCCUGGUUUGGGUGGUGUGCCUGGUGCAGGUGGAGCUUACCCUGGAGCAGGAGGAGCUUACCCUGGAGCAGGAGGAGCUUACCCUGGAGGAGUCCCAGGAGGUGCGGGUGGGGUCCCAGGUCUUGGAUCAGUAGCAGGAGGAGCAGGAGGAGUACCUGGAUGGUUACCCGCAGGAGCUGGAGGAUAUAACCCUGCUGCGGCCAAAGCUGCUAAAUAUGGAGUUCCAGGGGGUGCAGGUGCAGGCCUAGGAGCUGGAGGAUUUGGUGGGGUACCAGGAGGAGGAGGAGGGGGUGUACCUGGGGCCGGAGGACUCCCAGGAGGAGGUGCAGGCAGGCUCCCAGGUGCUGGCUCAGUCGCAGGAGGAGCAGGAGGAGUACCUGGGGCUGGAGGAUAUAAUCCUGCUGCGGCCAAAGCCGCUAAAUAUGGAGUUCCAGGAGGAGCAGGUGCAGGGUUAGGAGGAGCUGGAGGCUAUGGAGCGGGAGCCAGGCCUCCCUAUUACGGUGUUCCAGGGGGUGCUGGAUUUGGGGGAGCAGGAGCUUUUCCAGGGUCUGGAGGAUUCAACCCUGCCGCCGCCGCCAAAGCUGCUAAAUAUGGGGUCCCAGGAGGUACAGGGGCAGGCCUAGGAGCUGGAGGUCUUGGAGGAACAGGAGGGGUACCAGCAGGAGGAGCUGGGGCUGGAGGUGUCCCCGGAGGUGCAGGAGCAGGCCUAGGAGCAGGAGGAGUACCAGGAGGAGGAGCAGGGGGGGUACCUGGGGCUGGAGGAUAUAAUCCUGCUGCAGCCAAAGCAGCUAAAUAUGGAGUUCCAGGAGGUACAGGAGCAAGCCUAGGAGCUGGAGGACUUGGAGGAGGAUAUGGAGGAGCAGGAGGGGCUGGGGCUGGAGGAUAUAACCCUGCUGCGGCCAAAGCUGCUAAAUAUGGAGUUCCCGGAGGUGCAGGAGCAGGCCUAGGAGCUGGGGGAGCAGGAGGAGUACCAGGAGGAGGAGCAGGGGGUGUACCUGGGGCUGGAGGAUAUUAUCCCGCUGCGGCCAAAGCUGCUAAAUAUGGAGUUCCAGGAGGCCUAGGAACAGGCUUAGGAGGAGGAGGACUUGGAGGAGUACAGGGAGGAGUACCUGGAGGAGGAGCAGGGGGUGUACCUGGGGCUGGAGGAUAUAAUCCUGCUGCAGCCAAAGCUGCUAAAUAUGGUCAGGGGGCUGCUGGUGGGCCAGGGGGUGGAUAUGGUGGCGUGCCUGCUGGAGGAUAUCCCAGGCCUGGGGGCUAUGGGGGGUAUGGAGGGGCAGGAGCUGGAGGGUAUAAUCCUGCUGUGGCCAAAGCUGCUAAAUAUGUCCCAGGAGCUGGAGGAGCAGGCCUAGGAGCUGGAGGAGCAGGCCUAGGAGGAGCAGGAGGAGUACCAGGGCCUGGGGCUGGACCAGGAUAUGGAGGCUAUGGAGGAUAUGGAGGGGUACCAGCAGGAGGGGCUGCUGCUGCGGCCAAAGCUGCUAAAUAUGGAGUACCAGGAGGUGCAGGAGCAGGCCUUGGAGCUGGAGGACUUGGAGGAGCAGGAGGAGUACCAGGGGCUGGAGGAUAUAACCCUGCAGUGGCCAAAGCGGCUAAAUAUGGAGUCCCCGGAGGUGCAGGAGCAGGCAUAAGAGCUGGAGGAACAGGAGGAUUACCAGGAGGAGGAGCAGGGGGUGUACCUGGGGCUGGAGGAUAUAAUCCCGCUGCAGCCAAAGCUGCUAAAUAUGGAGUCCCAGGAGGUGUAGGAACAGGCCUAGGAGCAGGAGGACUUGGAGGAGGAGGACAGGGAGGAGUACCUGGACAAGUAGGAGCUGGAGGAUAUGAUCCCGCAGCCAAAGCUGCUAAAUAUGGUAUGCCAAGUGGGGCGGGCAUCGGUGGAGAAGGUGUGCCAGCACCUAUAGCGACUCCAAGACCAGGUGUGGGCGUGGGUGGUGGUGUUGGAGGAACUGCCAUUGAGCGCACUGACGUACCAGUGGGCACAGGGAUACCUAUCGCAGGCAAACCAGAUCCCACACCUAUUGGCACAGAGGCCCCAGAGCCAGAGCCCAGUGCCACAGGAGUAACUGGAGUUGGGGCUGGGGUUCUUCAACCUAGUGUUGGUACAGGCCCAGCUCAGCCUGGUGUGGGUGUCGGAGCAGGUGGCAAAGCUCCUAAACCCCCUGGUGCAGGGGGAUACCCGUAUGGUGGUUAUGGACAGGGACAACUCCGGUAUGGUCAAGGUUAUGGACAGGGUGCUGGUGGAUAUCCCUAUGGAGGAGGACAUGGAAAUCCAUACGGAGCAGGAGCUGGACAACUUCCUGGAGCCAAGCCCCUGAAACCUCCAGUUGUGGGAGGAGCAGGUGGUGUGGCUGGAGGAGCAGGUAUCCCUCUUACUGGAGCAGGUGGUGGUGCAGGGGGAUACCCGUAUGGUUAUGGUCAAGGUGGUUAUGGACAGGGACAGGGUGUGAGGUAUCCCACUGGUGUUGGUCUGGGGGCAGGAGCAGGUCAAAAAGCACCCAAACCCCCAGGUUAUGGUAACCUAGGUGCUGGUGGUGCUGGUUAUAAUCCAGGUGCUGGUGCGGUCCCAGGUUACGGCGGUGGCUACCCACAACAACAGGGUUACCCACAGCAAGGUGGCAGCUACCCACAACAACCCUACCCAGGAGCAUAUGGAGCAGGCCAGACGGCACCACUGACUCCUCAACAAGCCAAAGCAGCCAAGUAUGGCCCACUCCAGGGCUUCCUUGGUGGAGCAGGAGGAGGAGGCUACAGACCAGGAGGAGUUGCUGCUGGAUGCCAAAGCAAAUACUGUGGAAGGCAGAAGUAGAGGAUGUUCUUCAGAAGAAGUUGAACCUCAAGAAACAAUGGUGCUACUGCAUGAUCUAGAAUGUACAUUUUAUAUGCACAAAAUCCCCCAUUACAGUAUGUAAAGAUAUGUUGUACUUUAUUUGACUCAAUAUAUUUUUUAUACAAACCCACCGACCCAGACUUUUGCACACAUUUGAUGUGACUUAGUGUUUUUGAUUGUGCCUUUAUCAUUGUUCAUUGUGUUCAUCAGCUCUUACUGACAUGUCUGCGAUGCUCCCUUUUAGUAGUUACCAAGUGUUUGUAUGUGCAUGCAUGUGUGUGGGCGUGGAUGUGUGGCUGUGUGUCUCUCUAUGUGCUUGUGAGUUUUCACAUGUUGCCAGAGAUGUUUGGGUAUAUAGGAGAAUAUGAAAGAUUAUCCAACUAGAGCCAUUCAGCAUGCUUUUAAUGCAGAGAAGUGCUCCAAGUCAAAACCAGCACCAUUCCUGUAACUGUACAUCCCUCUCCAUGUGCUUAGUGUCUGUGUGUACCAAAGUUGGAGAUCUUCACAUACUGACAUCUCAAACCAAGGGUUGAGCUUCAAGAGGUGUGGUUGGUAAAGUGCUGAUAAACUUUGGCCAUGUAUCUUCAGAACUGCCUCCUCUGGCUUUCUAUCAUCUCUGCUGCUAUUUAUAGCCCUGGGUGAAAUAGCAGUGGCAUAGCGCGUGUGUGUGGGCACAGGUUUCACAGUCCAUCUGCCAUCAGCAACUUUGACUAUAUUUUAAGUGCCAUGGUGUAAGUAGCCUUCUUGCCUUGAUUUCUGACAAACUUGGGAAGUAUGAAGAGCAGGUGUUGCUCUGAAUGUGAUAAAGCUGAUGACAAUCAAUCCAAAGGUGUUCAAAAGAUUUGUAGGUGAUAUCUUCAGUGAUAUUCAUAUCAUACAUUGUGUUGGUUUGUACCCAAGUCCUUUCAAAUGGUGUGUUUUGUUUUUUAAAUGAUUUGUAUGUUUUAAGUUUUACAAACAUGUAAAAGUAAAACUGAAAUCCUUUCGAUACUGCUCUGGCAUGUCUUGUACGUUAUGUAUGUAUGUAUUGAACAUUUUGUUUUAUUAAUUACUUAUCAUUUUUCUGGUGUCCAAGAUUAAGUGCCUAGAAUGUUAUGCAUAUCUGUAAUCAAUCUAGUUUCACAUGCAGUUAUAGUUUCAUUUAUGCAAAUUGUCGCUCAUUAUUCAAGUUUCAAAUGUUUCCGCUCAUGAAAGUAGACUAUCACCAUAUUUGUGUAAUCUUGAAUAAGGCAAAAAAUGUUUGUUAAAAAAAAAUAUAUAUUUGGGUAAUGCAUUUAAUCACUGUUGAGAAUUUUAAUAUGUGUCUGUGUGUAGGCUAUAGCCCCUAGUCUGUGUAAAUUGUGAGAGUGAGCUCCCAUUUCACUCUUUACUUGAGUUAGUUACAGUUGAAUAAGACUCACUAGACAUUACUGACCAAAGAUUGAUUCGCUCUGUUAUAAAGUUACACUACGAUGUCUCUUUAGGGAUUGUGUGUACUGUAUGUUGUAGUAAUUGCCCUAGGUUAUCAUGACUCUCACUCGCUUCAGUUUUUGUAGCCUACUCGUGAGGCUUUUUCUGAACUGUGUGUGAGCCGCUCCUCUGCCGUGCGGUGGGAUAGUAUUCAUCUUAUUUAAAUGGAAAAAGGAGGAACGAUGGGGUUUUGCACUUUUAUAUUUUCAUGACGCACAUGUGACUUGUUCCCGGUAAUCCCGGCAUUUUAUUUGCUUAAGUAAAAUAACGAAAUAAAAUGGUUAAUAAAUACACAUUUGUGCCCAG
rnacentral:lncRNA from 1 species